rnacentral:misc_RNA from 1 species
GAUGAAGAACGUAGCGAAAUGCGAUAAGUAAUGUGAAUUGCAGAAUUCAGUGAAUCAUCGAGUCUUUGAACGCACAUUGCGCCCCCUGGUAUUCCGGGGGGCAUGCCUGUCCGAGCGUCAUUGCUGCCCUCAAGCACGGCUUGUGUGUUGGGCCGUCGUCCCCCUCCUAGGGGACGGGCCCGAAAGGCAGCGGCGGCACCGCGUCCGGUCCUCGAGCGUAUGGGGCUUCGUCACCCGCUCCGUAGGCCCGGCCGGCGCUUGCCGACGACCAUCAAUCUCUUGCUCCAGGUUGACCUCGGAUCAGGUAGGGAUACCCGCUGAACUUAAGCAUAUCAAUAAGCGGAGGA